rnacentral:rRNA from 1 species
GUCCUUGGCCAUACCACCCUGAACGCACCUGAGCUUGUCUCAUCCCAGAAGCUGAGCAGGGUUGGACCUGGUUAGUACCUGGAUGGGAGAAACUGUCCUAUGAGGAAG